CAACUUUCAGCAAUGGAUCUCUUGGUUCUCGCAUCGAUGAAGAACGCAGCGAAUUGCGAUAAGUAAUGUGAAUUGCAGAUUUCCAGUGAAUCAUCGAAUCUUUGAACGCACCUUGCGCUCCUUGGUAUUCCGAGGAGCAUGCCUGUUUGAGUGUCAU
rnacentral:rRNA from 1 species